AUGUUCACUUCUUGAAUGUAAAAAAAAAAAGAGAAAGAAAAUCAACAAAAAGCCCAGUUCGAUCAGCUAAUAGUCACUGUGAUGUGCCCUGCACAGAGAAGUCUGUGGGCUUUUUUAUAUGCAGCCGAAUAUUGUUUGUGUAAGUCAUAAUAUUUACGCAGGAGACGCCCGGGGAAUGAAGUUGAAGCUCUGCCGCGCUGUGAGCCCAGAACCUCGGGUUCAGACCACGGAACGACUCCAGACAUGCUGGGACCGUCAUUUCACAAGUAAAAGCGCUCGGAUGCCAUUCCACAAUGGGUCUGUCCCACACAGCACAUGGGAGCCAGUCAACGGCGCCCCACCCUGCGGCUGUGCACAGCUCCCAUGCGGGGCCGGUCCGUCACGAUAUCCUGAUGCUGUCUGAGCCGUCAAUAAUAGGAGAUGAGACAUAAACCACAUUGGCGAGGGCAUGCGCAGAGGCUCGGUGGGCCGCCGUUGCAGGCUGGAGUGGGCAGGCAUGUGGCUUUGGCCACAGGAAGCUGUGAAUUCUUUGGAGAAUGGAAGAUGCCUUACAGGGAUACAUACUAGAGUCACGCAAGGAAGGAAAUCAGCCACGGUCUGCUACAAGUGGCGAGGUCCGAGAGAGAAUAGCAGCAAGCCCGUCAGAGGUGCACCACCAGAACCAGCUGGAUUUUUGAGGACUUAAUUUACCUGAGCGCUGACGUAAACUCAAACACAAGGAAACUGCCGGGCAAAACAUAACCCAAAUUGGGUGAAAUCACAAACCCAACGCUGGGUUGAAAAGAGACGGAGCCAAUGCUGGGUUAUUUAUACAAGUUGGCAAGUCGACCCAGCGCAACGUGGUCAAGAUUUUGAUCCAAUAAAAGGUGUGGACUCUACAUCGUGGGCGUUUGGGAAAAACAGACAGCUGGUCCGACAGACAACCACAUGGUUUCGUUUGACGUCUGCUAAUUCCAGGGAAUCAAUCCUAAAUGACACCUAUGGGAUACACAGGGUGGAUUUGCCUCUGAUGUCGAUUGUGGUGGUUUGCAGAUGAAAGACAGUCAAAUAAAUAAAGCCGCGGCAAGCCGGCAGAACUCUUCUGUCCACGCGGCCCAACCAUAAUGGGAUACAUGCCGACACCCUGAGCUGGAGUCCUGCUCACUUUGAGAAAUAUGUCUCUUGUGGAAGAAAGGAGCAAGUUACGUACCGUAAUGAGCGGACUAAUUAUCAGGAAGCGAUUCUGUUCCUCGUUACGCUCGGCCGAUGCUGUUUUAAUCCCCCAAACACUUUCCUGAAUUAAACUCAGCUGUAUCAAAUAGCCAUUUAAACUCCUCCAAUCAAUCUUUUCAUCAGCUUUUGUGUCUGCGUAUUGCCUACAGUUAGAAUAGUAAUGGUAAGACGAUCCCGGCUUGUUUCAUCCUGGCUGAGAUCACGCAUGUCUCUCCUAAAGUCAGCUGGCAUUCCCCACAGAUUGUGACGCAUAACAAUGCAGUAGAGAUGGUGAAAAGCAUAUUGUGUCAUCAAACCCAACAAUUAGAUUGUGUGUCGUCCUCGUGAAGAAAAUUAAUGACUAUUUGUAAGUGCACACGAUGCAUGUAACAUCGGGGCAUUAUCAACGUUGGUGCCACAGAGGUGAUUUAUUUCGAUUGUGGUUGACUCCCGUCUGAUGCUCUUCAACAAAUCACAGCCUGAGGUCUGGCUAGACCAACAACACACUUUGUCUGCGUCUCCCCCACAUGACCCCCACGUAUGUAGAUGUUGAGUGGAGCCAGUGAAGGACAUCACUCAGGCGUUGUGUAUACAUGCAAAUAGCUCUACCUGGACGAUGCAUAUUUGUAUGUACAUUUGUACAUUUUUUACCUACAGUUGUGUGUUUUUGCGAUAAUUUAGUCGACCGUGGCCACCAGCAGUGCCGCCUGACCCAGGGGCUCCGGGUGAUAAGACCUCCAUAACUCUACUUUAUCCCCCCUGCUCAUUAUCUAGCUCCAUCCCAGAUCUGCUUUGAGCCUUCAGGCCGUUUUGCAAGGCCAUCUUCCCCUCUUAGAUCCGCAGCGCUCUUUGGCCUGGAGAUUAGUUUGGAGACACACGGGCUCAGUUGAACUAACCCCAGACACUUGACAUCUUCUGUCUGUGGGAGAAAGGGUUAAAUAUUUAAUUGGAGCUCACACUGACCAAGACGCGAUGAAUUCAAAGAUGUAAUAGGACGACAAGUGACUUAAUUUAAAAGUAAGAUAAAUAAUUGGCACUUUUUGGGUACAAUAUUCUUACGUCCUUAUCUCACCGUCAACUGAGUUUAUGUUAGCAUGAAGCAAGAUUUCAGUUCAGGGGUCAAACUAUCACCUUGACAGACCACAUCAUUCUUUUAGUCUAAACGUCGUGUGAGGCCAAGUGGAGGCUGCAAGACUUUAGUUUUAGACAAGUAUCGGUUAUUUAGAAAAGCGUAAUUUAUUUAUGUAUUUAUGUUUAUUGUCUUUGUAUCAUUUAAUGUGAUUCAUGGUCAACUUCAUUAUGUAGCGCACUUUGUUGCAGCUGUGGUUGUUGUAUACAUUUUCUAUGAAUAAAGUUGUGUUGAGUUCAA